rfam:Streptomyces albus strain DSM 41398, complete genome.
CUUCAGCGCGCCCAGCCACAGCGGCCGGUCGGCCGCGCGGCCCUGGCCGUAGGUGGCCAUCAGCGCCUGGGCCUC